CUGCUGCAACUCGCCAAAGACGAAGCCUACCUUCGUAGACUGCAAACACACACGGGUGACAUUACUAUUUUUCCCCUGCACACUGGCUGGCUUCAUGUGCAUGCACAUGAUGAUUGAAUCUCCGCGCACACGUAAAAAAAGUCUAUGUUCCACAUUGCUUCUGAUGGGUGCUUUUUUUUGCAGUACCCCGUCCGUCCGUCCUUUCGUCGUUUACCCCACUGCACGGUACACACAUCUUGACCGUCAGCCAGGCAGCAGGCAGGAGGCGUAUAGUUGGAGAAGACUUUUCUUUCGACGCAAAACCACAUUUUCGUCGCUUCCCAAGGCACCAAAUCGCGUACACCGGGCAGGUGUAAAUUAGCAAUUUUCCACAGCACUGGAGGACACUUUCACGUUCAUCAGAAAACUUUUGAAAGAUUUUUGCCUGCAGCCAGCAGAGGACAGGUUCGUGCACUUUGACGUUUGUUGUUCUCGCGCACGGUGCUCGAAAAGGGCCGGCUGAAGGGCAGCUGUCAGAAAAUCCCGAAAGUCUACACAACGGUGCAGGGGUGCUGUGUUAAGGCGAAAGUUGAAGUCAAAACCAUACGGGCUAUAAUCUUGACAGUUUUGCAAAAAUGUCAGACAAAUCGUCAUCACUCGGAGCGCAGAACGAGAAGAAACAA